rnacentral:misc_RNA from 2 species
UAUGCAGUUUUCAAGGUUCUGACUGGAACUUAUUCCAGCAGUCUAACUUUUGUUAGUUGCUGUUGUUUUCCAAUAGGUUUUUUUAGUUUGAACUAAGCCAAAUAAUACUUUGAAAGAUUUCCCCAAUCUCGACCGACCUAGGUUAGACCAAUUUAGUUUGUUAUGGUAAUUUCCUUAACAUUUCUAAAUGGAUUAGGUCUCCCUA